UACGGAGGGAGCUAGCGUUGUUCGGAAUUACUGGGCGUAAAGCGCACGUAGGCGGCGAUUCAAGUCAGAGGUGAAAGCCCGGGGCUCAACUCCGGAACUGCCUUUGAAACUAGAUUGCUAGAAUCUUGGAGAGGCGAGUGGAAUUCCGAGUGUAGAGGUGAAAUUCGUAGAUAUUCGGAAGAACACCAGUGGCGAAGGCGACUCGCUGGACAAGUAUUGACGCUGAGGUGCGAAAGCGGGGGGAGCAAACAGG
rnacentral:rRNA from 1 species